CUCCUUACGGAGUCUCACCCUCCUUACGGAGUCUCACCCUCCUUACAGAGUCUCACCCUCCUUACGGAGUCACACCCUCCUUACGGAGUCACACCCUCCUUACGGAGUCUCACCCUCCUUACGGAGUCUCUGACCACAGACUAGGUAGACUAGGUGGGACAGCAGUCUGUGGACUAGGUGUGACAGCAGUCUGUGGACUAGGUGUGACAGCAGUCUGUGGACUAGGUGUGACAGCAGUCUGUGGACUAGGUGUGACAGCAGUCUGUGGACUAGGUGUGACAGCAGUCUGUGGACUAGGUGUGACAGCAGUCUGUGGACUAGGUGUGACAGCAGUCUGUGGACUAGGUGGGACAGCAGUCUGUGGACUAGGUGGGACAGCAGUCUGUGGACUAGGUGGGACAGCAGUCUGUGGACUAGGUGGGACAGCAGUCUGUGGACUAGGUGGGACAGCAGUCUGUGGACUAGGUGGGACAGCAGUCUGUGGACUAGGUGGGACAGCAGUCUGUGGACUAGGUGGGACAGCAGUCUGUGGACUAGGUGGGACAGCAGUCUGUGGACUAGGUGGGACAGCAGUCUGUGGACUAGGUGGGACAGCAGUCUGUGGACUAGGUGGGACAGCAGUCUGUGGACUAGGUGGGACAGCAGUCUGUGGACUAGGUGGGACAGCAGUCUGUGGACUAGGUGGGACAGCAGUCUGUGGACUAGGUGGGACAAAUAUCUGGAUCAUACCAUCUCUGUGUGUGUGUGUGUGUGUGUGUGUGUGUGUGUGUGUGUGUGUGUGUGUGUGUGUGUGUGUGUGUGUGUGUGUGUGUGUGUGUGUGACAGUGUCUGUGUGUGUGUGUGACAGUGUCUGUGUGUGUGUGUGACAGUGUCUG